AUUGAACGCUGGCGGCAGGCCUAACACAUGCAAGUCGAACGGUAACAGGAAACAGCUUGCUGUUUCGCUGACGAGUGGCGGACGGGUGAGUAAUGUCUGGGAAACUGCCUGAUGGAGGGGGAUAACUACUGGAAACGGUAGCUAAUACCGCAUAACGUCGCAAGACCAAAGAGGGGGACCUUCGGGCCUCUUGCCAUCGGAUGUGCCCAGAUGGGAUUAGCUAGUAGGUGGGGUAACGGCUCACCUAGGCGACGAUCCCUAGCUGGUCUGAGAGGAUGACCAGCCACACUGGAACUGAGACACGGUCCAGACUCCUACGGGAGGCAGCAGUGGGGAAUAUUGCACAAUGGGCGCAAGCCUGAUGCAGCCAUGCCGCGUGUAUGAAGAAGGCCUUCGGGUUGUAAAGUACUUUCAGCGGGGAGGAAGGGAGUAAAGUUAAUACCUUUACCCAUUGACGUUACCCGCAGAAGAAGCACCGGCUAACUCCGUG
rnacentral:rRNA from 1 species